rnacentral:lncRNA from 1 species
AUGGCAACUUCUGCCUAUGGUUUGAUGUAUGGCGACUUCUGCCAAAACAUGGGUUGGUACCUCUCUAGUGGUUUGAUUGAAGGCGAUUUCUGCAUGUGGGUUGAUUAAUGGCAACUUCUGCUUGUGGUUUGAUUAAUGGGUCAUUUUCCCUUCAAGUGGUUUGAUUAUGGGGCAUUCUCCCUUCAGUGGUCUGAUUAAUGGUUUGUUUCCCCUGCCAGUGGUUUGAUAUCGUGCUUUACCCCAACAUUAAUUUGAUUCAUCGCCAGUGAUUUUAUUUCCAAUGAAGAUUGCUGAGUGUUUGUACUGCGAUGUCAUUCAACCU